UACAGGAGGGGCAAGCGUUGUUCGGAAUUACUGGGCGUAAAGGGCGCGUAGGCGGCCUUCUAAGUCGAACGUGAAAUCCCCGGGCUCGAACCCGGGAACUGCGUCCGAUACUGGAAGGCUUGAAUCCGGGGAGAGGGAUGCGGAAUUCCAAGGGUGUAGCGGGUGAAAUGCGUAGGAUAAUCUGGGAGGAACACCGGUGGCGAAGGCGGCA
rnacentral:rRNA from 1 species